UACGUAGGGUGCAAGCGUUGUCCGGAAUUAUUGGGCGUAAAGAGCUCGUAGGCGGUCUGUCGCGUCUGCUGUGAAAACUCAGGGCUUAACCCUGAGCUUGCAGUGGGUACGGGCAGACUAGAGUGCGGUAGGGGAGACUGGAAUUCCUGGUGUAGCGGUGAAAUGCGCAGAUAUCAGGAGGGAACACCGGUGGCGAAGGCGGGUCUCUGGGCCGUAACUGACGCUG
rnacentral:rRNA from 1 species